AGAGAGCUUGCUUUCUCGAGCGAGUGGCGAACGGGUGAGUAACGCGUGAGGAACCUGCCUCAAAGAGGGGGAUAACGCACCGAAAGGUGCACUAAUACCGCAUAAGACCACGUUUCUGACAUGGGAAUGAGGUCAAAGGAGCAAUCCGGUGGAAGAUGGGCUCGCGUCUGAUUAGCUAGUUGGUGAGGUAACGGCCCACCAAGGCGACGAUCAGUAGCCGACCUGAGAGGGUGAUCGGCCACAUUGGAACUGAGAGACGGUCCAAACUCC
rnacentral:rRNA from 1 species